rnacentral:lncRNA from 1 species
CUUGUUCGGAAUCGAUAACUACGUCGGCGACCUUCUCCUUAGGCUCGCUAGAGACAGCUUUCACCGAGGGAAAGAGUCUUCUCUUCGGUGACAGUCGCCAGGUUCUGCUCCUCGCCGGGAACAUCCUCGUUCUCCAUCUUCCGUUGAAAAGAGUGUUUUCUUCGGUGAUAGUCGCCAGGUUCUGCUCCUCGCCGGGAACAUCCUCGUUCUUCUCCAUCUUCCGUUGUCGCAGCGACGACCAACGAGGCUAGACAAGGCAUUGCAUUGAAUCAAACUCUCAGCUCCGCUCGAUACGCCGGAGAUUCGCAUCGUAUCCAUCUCUGAUC